GCCUGUCGAUGCAGGCUGUUCAUAUAUCUAAAUCAUAUGUGAAGAAAGGGCAGGGCAAGACCGGUGCCAGCCGCCGCGGUAAUACCGGCUGCUCGAGUGAUGGCCACUAUUACUGGGUUUAAAGCGUCCGUAGCUUGACUGUUAGGUCUCUUGGGAAAUCUUCGCGCUCAACGUGAAGGCGUCUAAGAGAUACCGGCAGUCUUGGAACUGGGAGAGGUAAACCGUACUUCGGGGGUAGGAGUGAAAUCUUGUAAUCCUCGAGGGACGACCUAUGGCGAAGGCAGUUUACCAGAACAGCUUCGACAGUGAGGGACGAAAGCUGGGGGAGCAAACGGGAUUAGAUACCCCGGUAGUCCCAGCCGUAAACAAUGUGCGUUAGGUGUGUCGGUAACCACGUGUUACUGAUGCGCCGAAGAGAAAUCGUGAAACGCACCACCUGGGAAGUACGGUCGCAAGGCUGAAACUUAAAGGAAUUGGCGGGGGAGCACCACAACAGGUGGAGCCUGCGGUUUAAUUGGAUUCAACGCCGGACAUCUCACCGGAUAAGACAGCUGAAUGAUUGUCAAUCUGAAGGUUUUACAUGACUAGCUGAGAAGAAGGGGCAUGGGCCACA
rnacentral:rRNA from 1 species